rnacentral:rRNA from 1 species
AAUCAACGCUGGCGGCGUGCCUAACACAUGCAAGUCGCACGAGAAAGGGGAGCAAUCCCUGAGUAAAGUGGCGCACGGGUGAGUAACACGUGAAUCAUCUACCUCCGAGUGGGGAAUAACUGAGAGAAAUCUUAGCUAAUACCGCAUAACACUUACGAGUCAAAGCAGCAAUGCGCUUGGAGAGGAGUUCGCGGCCGAUUAGUUAGUUGGCGGGGUAANGGCCCACCAAGACGAUGAUCGGUAUCCGGCCUGAGAGGGCGCACGGACACACUGGAACUGAAACACGGUCCAGACUCCUACGGGAGGCAGCAGUGGGGAAUUUUGUCGCAAUGGGGGAAACCCUGACGCAGCAACGCCGCGUGGAGGAUGAAGUAUC